ensembl:lncRNA
UUUUUUUUUUUUUUUUUUUUUUUUUUUUUUUUUGAGGAAGUGUGUUGGGGGUGUGGGUUUUUGUAAUGCAGAAGUCAAGUAUUGAUUACUAUGCAGUGAGAUUACCCAGACUGUACUGGGUUUAGACAACUGCCCAAAGAGAUUUUGUAUAAACUUCAGAGGAAGAGAAAGAGAAUAUUCUUAGAUGGAUGAAAUUGUCUUUGUACUAUGCAGCAAAUAAUUUUUAAAGGAGUUCAUUAAAAAGUUAUACUAUUUUUUUUUUUAAUAUUGUGACUUAAGAAGUAUAUUAGACCCUACAGUGAAGUUGUUCUGCAUAAUACUACUCAUUAUAUGCAUUGGAGCACAGUAGCUUCUUAAAAUCCAAAAGCUCUCUCCUUGGUUUAAGAAAGAGUGGAUAUUUGUACUGCUGUAUCAACAGUCAGAUCUGCUCAGUUAGCAUUACAGUAAAUUCGACUUUCAGCUGCCAGUAGCUUGGCAAUUAGAGUUUCCUGCUUUAUUGUUAAACACUGCAAUUGAACUCUGCUGCUUUUCAUUUGUGAUCCAGCUUGGGAUGUCAGCUGACACCGAAAUGAAUGUCCUAACCUCCAAUUCAGUGGCUUAAAGGCUAUCUCCCCAACAUUCACUGCCAAGAUGAAAUCCAGAAAUUAUUAUUCACCAGCAGUAAACAGGGCCUGUUUUUGCAGGCACCCAUUCAUAAUAAAGCAAGCAGGACAGCUGGGAAUUCCAGUUAAACGUGCUUUUCAUAUCCACACUGAAAAGCAGAAUAUUAAAAGUAAUGUAGCUGUAUUUGUAAAGAAGAACUUAAGUGAUAUCUUAGCAGCUCUCCAUUAAUACUUGUAAUAAUUCUUUUAAAAAGUAACUUCAUAAGAAGGUACUCUAAGAUUUUUCAGUGCAGUUAGGUACGAAAUAAAUACCUUCCAAAAGUAUGGGUGGAUCUCCACUCUUCUGCCACUUUCAGAUAGAAGAUGACCUCUGACAAGCAAGGCACAGAGCAAAUCCCAAUUCUAAACAUAUUUUUCAUUAAACUCCAGACUAGAGAUAACUCCUGAAAAUCUUCAUCUAACUUUUUCUUUGAAUAACACAAAGGGUAGACUAGGAAAGCUGAGGAAAUACAGAGAGAGCUGCUUCCAUGUAAAGUAUUACUUUGGAAAGGCUGAACAGGUGAUUCUGAGAGGAAAGCAAUUAUUACUGCUGCCUAGCUCCCCUAACACACCUCCCACCCCCACCAAGUUCUUUUAGGUUUACUGAAGAAUCAGAAUCUAUGCCAAAGCAAUUAAGGUUUUAUACUGGUUAGACUGAAUUUACCCAGUUCAGCACUGUGCUGUGAGAUAAUGAACAUUUCUAUAUGCUCCUUUGCCAAGCUUUUCCUCUGAAGAAAGUUUAUUAUAGACCACAGAAAUAACUUUAUUUUGUAUCUGUUUACUUGCAACUUUAACCCCCAUGACCAGAAUUUUCCUUUGUGUUUACAAGUAAAUUAUACCAGUACUUUCUACUCCAUCCCACACCCCUUUUUGGAAAUAGGCCAACACAUGUGGAAAGUGCAGGUACAGAACUGAACCAUCCCAAUACUUCAUUUACUACUGAGCAAGCACACCUAGCACACACUAAGUACAUCAUAUUGAUACCACUGGGUUUCAAAAAAUAGGUAUUGCUUGCACUAAAACUUGAGCAAAUAAUUAUUUAAAAUAGUAAAUCUUUGUCUCAUUUUGGGAGGAAAAAAAAUAAGAAGGAAAAAAAGUACUUUUCCAUAGGACCAAAAAAACACAAAGCCAAAAUAAACAAGCAAAAAACACCCAAACCAUAAAAAAAAAAAAAAAAAAAAAA